rnacentral:SRP_RNA from 1 species
GCCAGGCGUGGUGGCUCACGCCUGUAAUCCCAGCACUUUGGGAGGCCGAGGUGGGAGGAUCACCUGAGGUCAGGAGUUCGAGACCAGCCUGGCCAACAUGGUGAAACCCCGUCUCCA